GACGAACGCUGGCGGCGUGCUUAACACAUGCAAGUCGAACGAAGAGCGAUGGAAGCUUGCUUCUAUCAAUCUUAGUGGCGAACGGGUGAGUAACGCGUAAUCAACCUGCCCUUCAGAGGGGGACAACAGUUGGAAACGACUGCUAAUACCGCAUACGAUCUAAUCUCGGCAUCGAGGAUAGAUGAAAGGUGGCCUCUACAUGUAAGCUAUCACUGAAGGAGGGGAUUGCGUCUGAUUAGCUAGUUGGAGGGGUAACGGCCCACCAAGGCGAUGAUCAGUAGCCGGUCUGAGAGGAUGAACGGCCACAUUGGGACUGAGACACGGCUCAGACUCCUACGGGAGGCAGCAGUGGGGAAUCCUCCGCAAUGGACGAAAGUCUGACGGAGCAACGCCGCGUGAGUGAUGACGGCCUUCGGGUUGUAAAGCUCUGUUAAUCGGGACGAAAGGCCUUCUUGCGAAUAGUGAGAAGGAUUGACGGUACCGGAAUAGAAAGCCACGGCUAACUACGUG
rnacentral:rRNA from 1 species